rnacentral:lncRNA from 1 species
GUAUUUUUACCAUAUAUGGGGGGGGGUUGUGUUGCUAGGGAUCAAGCCAAGGUCCUCUUGUACUCCACUUAAGCGCUCUGCCAUUGAGCUAACCUCCAGCCCUUACCACUAUACUGAUUAAGAGUGCUAACCCAAGGACACGUCAACCAAGAAGGCCCUUAACUGCUUUUGCUUUGGAAAUCUUUCUGUUUUCUCUUUGAGCUCAGGAAAGAACCAUGGAAGUAUGAAGAGUACGGUUCUGUGGGGCUGGGGAGAAGGCACAGUGGGUAAGAAUGCUUGCUGUGGAUGCAUGGAGACCUGAGUUCAAAUCCUAGCACCCACAUAUAAAGCUGGGUAUGCCCACAUGUGCCCGAAAACCCAACACUGGGAGGCUGAGACCAACGUCCCCGAAGCUUGCUGACCUGGUAGCCUAAACAAAGUGGCGAGUUUCAGGUUGGGUGAGAGAUCCUGUUUCAAGGGAAUAGGGGAGAAGGAGCAAUGGAAAGAGAUGAGAGUGGGGAGAGGGAGCAAGGGAAAGAGGGAGGAAGAGAGGGAGAGGGAAAGAAAGUAGAGAUAGAUACUGAGUGAGUGUGUAUGGGUACAUGCGCCCACAUUUACAAAAGCGUUCCACAUGAUAAGCAAUGUGAGUGCAAUGAGUAAUGACGAAUACAAGGCAGAGUAAGGUACUGUGCCCUUGAUGAACUUCCAGCUCAACUGGUAAUAUAGGAAGUGUCAGGGAGGAAGGCUGAAAGAGGAAGAUAUAGGAAGUGUCAGAGAGGAAGGCUGAAAGAGGAAGAUGGUCACCCCGCCACCUGCUGUUAAUGUUCAAGAUUCAUUCCUAUAUGAACUUGUGUUGGAGACUGGUUCUAAUGUUUUGAUUCAAUCGGAGAUCUGUGUGUCGAGACACUGAAGGUAUUUGUUCCCAAUUAGUUUUUGAUUGAUCAAUAAAGAUAUCAAUGGCCAAUGGCUGAGCACUUAGAAGAUGCAGAGGAACAAGACUUUCUCUGUGACUAGGGGAAGAAGGAUGUGAUGCAAUAGAGGCAGGAGCAAAAGCCAACCAGACAUGUGAGAUUUCAGGUGAGUAGCCACUGGCCACUUCUUCGAUUGGGCCUGGGGUAGUAGGGGAAGGCUUAGGAGUGUUCAGCCAUUGAGGUAACCAAAGCAUUUAAAAAUAAACUAAUGUGUGUGUCUUUCAUCUAAAGAUAGUUCCUGGGUGGAUAUGCUCAUGGGAUCCCCCUCUGCUGGGAGCCAAAGCGAUGUAGCCAAAACUCUCACUGCUACACAUUUGCCAGAAGUUCUUUUUUAAAUUGCUACAUAUUAUCAUAUUGUAUGAACAUGUUACAAUUUGUUUAUUUGUCCCCAGAGAGGGCAAGCAAGUGGGAGAUGUUGCCUAUUGGCCAGCACAUCUGUCUCAGUCAGGGUUUCUAUUCCUGCACAAAACAUCAUGACCAAGAUGCAAGUUGGGGAGGGAAGGGUUUAUUCAGAUUACACUUCCACAUUGGUGUUCAUCACCAAAGGAAGUCAGGGCUGGAACUCAAGCAGGUCAGGAAGCAGGAGCUGAUGCAGAGGCCAUGGAGGGAUGUUCUUUACUGGAUUGCUUCCCCUGGCUUGCCCAGCUUGCUUUCUUAUAGAACCCAAGACUAUCAGCCCAGGGAUGGCACCACCCACAAGGGGCCCUUUCCCCUUGAUCACUAAUUGAGAAAAUGCCUUGCAGCUGGAUUUCAAGGAGGCAUUUCCUCAAGGGAGGCUCCUUUCUCUGUGAUAACCCCAGCUUGUGUCAAGUUGACACAUAAAACCAGCCAGUACAACAUCUAUACAUAGUCUUCCAAUGUUAUUUUGUAGAAGAGAUUGGAAAUAGGAGAAUGGGACAGUUCAGUGAAAGGAAACAAUGCAAUAAAUAAGAUUAGUUUGCUCGUCUUGUGUAUGCUUGUGUGUGUGUAGUGUUUGUGUGUGUGUGUGUGUGUGUGUGUGUGUGUAUAGUGUUUGUGUGUGUGUGUAUUCAUCCCUGAAUGUGUGUGCCCACAUGUGGGCCCGCACUGCAGGGUACAAGUAGAGUUUGGAGACAACAGUGUGGAGCUCACAUCUUUAUGUGCUUCCCAGGCAAAUCCACCUCUCACCCUGUGGUUCCAGAAAUCUAAUACAAGGUUCAGAUGCGAGGCUCUCUCAGAUGCAAAAA